rnacentral:rRNA from 1 species
GAUGAACGCUGGCGGCGUGCCUAAUACAUGCAAGUCGAGCGAACAGACGAGGAGCUUGCUCCUCUGACGUUAGCGGCGGACGGGUGAGUAACACGUGGAUAACCUACCUAUAAGACUGGGGUAACUUCGGGAAACCGGAGCUAAUACCGGAUAAUAUAUUGAACCGCAUGGUUCAAUAGUGAAAGACGGUUUUGCUGUCACUUAUAGAUGGAUCCGCGCCGCAUUAGCUAGUUGGUAAGGUAACGGCUUACCAAGGCAACGAUGCGUAGCCGACCUGAGAGGGUGAUCGGCCACACUGGAACUGAGACACGGUCCAGGCUCCUACGGGAGGCAGCAGUAGGGAAUCUUCCGCAAUGGGCGAAAGCCUGACGGAGCAACGCCGCGUGAGUGAUGAAGGUCUUCGGAUCGUAAAACUCUGUUAUUAGGGAAGGACAAAUGUGUAAGUAACUAUGCACGUCUUGACGGUACCUAAUCAGAAAGCCACGGCUAACUACGUG